UAGAGGGAAAUAAAAAAAAAAAGAGGGAAAUACAUAGCUUUAAAUGCCUAUAUUAAAAGAAAAAAACAAAAAAUCAAACUGCUGCCAAGUCAAUUCGAUUCCAACUCAUAGAUUGAAAAUUACUAAUCUAAGCUUCCGUCUCAAGAAGCUAGAAAAAUAAAAUUAAACUCAGGAUAGUAGAAGGAAGCAUAUAAUAAAAGAUGUGAGCAAACAUCAACAGAAGAGAAGGCAGACAAAACAGAGAAAACCCAAUAAAACUAAAUGUUGGUUCUUUAAAAGGAUUAAUAAAAUAGUUUAGCCUUUUAUGCCUACUAAUGCAGAAGAUCACAUGCAGUUUAACAAAGGAGAUAUUUCCUUUGAACCCUGGAAGAAUAUUUUCAUGAUCAAGAUGACCAAGCACCAAAAAUGGUUACCCAAGGCGGGUUGUGGUAUACCUAUCUGUGCAGAUCUUCAUGAAGAGGAUUGAAUUGCCUCAGAGUGAUAUGGGACCAGCUUGCUUAUCAGUUUAAAUUCUGGCAUUGGGUGAAAUAAAAGUUAUUGUUUUAUUUUGGUAAACACGACACUAUCAAUUUUAGGACAUUUAAAAAUCCUCGAAAUUAUGCUGCUUUUUGUCUUUUGAAAAGUGGGGUUAAUCCAUUUAUAUUUAUUGUUGUUGUUAUUGUCAGCUGCUGUUCAGCUGGCCCCUGACUCAUGACAACCCCAUGCGCAAUGAAAUGAAACACUACCUAGUCCUAGUUAUCCUAGUUGUCUCAGUUAUCUAGUGCUGCUAUAACAGAAAUACCACAAGUGGAUGGCUUUAACAAAGAGAAAUUUAUUCUCUCACAGUCUAGGAGGCUAGAAGCCUGCGUCCGGAGUGUCAGUUCCUGGGGAAGGCUCUCUCUCUGUUGGCUCUGGGGGAAGGCCCUUGUCAUCAAUCUUCUCCUGGUCUAGGAGCUUCUCAGUACAGAAACCCAGGGAUACAGGAAAACAGCAAAUGCAAACGAUGGAUGAAAUUUAUAAGAUUGCUUCCACAGAAAGGAUCCAGCUGUUGGAGAAGGAACUGGCUAUGCAAUUGACUGAGCUGAAGUCUGAGAUAGAAGAACACGGGGCUCUUCAGGGGACAGCUAAUAGAACUUAUAGCUCUGUUCGGAUACCGAAGGACAUUUCCUACUUUAGAAGAGAAAGAGAACUAGCACUAAAGAAAAUCCUACAG